rnacentral:pre_miRNA from 1 species
GUCGGUCGGUCGGUCGGUCGGUCGGUCGGUCGGUCGGUCUGUCGGUCGGUCGGUCGGUCGGUCGGUCGGUCGGUCUGUCUGUCU